GACAAACAGAUCAAGCUAAAAUUAAUAAUAGUAUAAAAGGGGGUUAAGAGUUGUUGAAAUUGGAAAGUAAUGCUUUUUAUGGGGGUAGAAUUUGUGUAAGAAGAGAUAAUUUUUGUUUUCCUUAAUUUUUGAGGCCUCGAAAUUUUGUUAUGAGACCGGGAUUAGAUACCCCGUUAUUCAAAAUGUAAACGUUGAUUAAUGUAUGAAAUUGAUUUACUUGAGUAUUACGAGUGAUAAGAGUAAGGCUUAUUUAUUACUUAAAACUCAAAAAACUUGGCGGUGCCUUAUAUCCUUCCAGGGGAACCUGUCCUAUAAUCGAUAGUCCACGUUUUAACUUUCUUUUUUUUGAAUUAACAGUUUGUAUACCGUCGUCGUCGGGUUACCUUUAAGAGUUGUGAAGUUAUCAGCAGGAGGAAAAUAUAUGGAUUUAAGUUUAAUUAGAUAUUUAUAUGUUUAUUUCUAGACGUCAGAUCAAGGUGCAGCUUAUAAAAAAGAAGAGAUGGGUUACAGUAAUUAAGUUAUUAUUACGGAUCUUUGUUGUAAAUGAGCACAGUUGAAGGAGGACUUGGAAGUAAUUAUAAAAUAAGAUAGUUUUAAUGAAAAUAGGCUCUGAGGUGCGC
rnacentral:rRNA from 1 species